GACGAACGCUGGCGGCGUGCUUAACACAUGCAAGUCGAACGGAAAGGCCCUGCUUUUGUGGGGUGCUCGAGUGGCGAACGGGUGAGUAACACGUGAGUAACCUGCCCUUGACUUUGGGAUAACUUCAGGAAACUGGGGCUAAUACCGGAUAGGAGCUCCUGCUGCAUGGUGGGGGUUGGAAAGUUUCGGCGGUUGGGGAUGGACUCGCGGCUUAUCAGCUUGUUGGUUGGGUAGUGGCUUACCAAGGCUUUGACGGGUAGCCGGCCUGAGAGGGUGACCGGCCACAUUGGGACUGAGAUACGGCCCAGACUCCAACGGGAGGCAGCAGUGGGGAAUAUUGCACAAUGGGCGGAAGCCUGAUGCAGCAACGCCGCGUGCGGGAUGACGGCCUUCGGGUUGUAAACCGCUUUCGCCUGUGACGAAGCGUGAGUGACGGUAAUGGGUAAAGAAGCACCGGCUAACUACGUG
rnacentral:rRNA from 1 species